rnacentral:rRNA from 1 species
GCUGACGAGUGGCGGACGGGUGAGUAAUGCAUAGGAAUCUGCCCAGUAGCGGGGGACAACUUGGUGAAAACCAAGCUAAUACCGCAUACGCCCUACGGGGGAAAGGAGGGGAUCUUCGGACCUUUCGCUAUGAGAUGAGCCUGCGUUAGAUUAGCUAGUUGGUAGGGUAAAGGCCUACCAAGGCGACGAUCUAUAGCUGGUCUGAGAGGACGAUCAGCCACACUGGGACUGAGACACGGCCCAGACUCC